rnacentral:rRNA from 1 species
GGUACAUAAUUGCUUCUCUGACAAAGCGAUAAAAAAAAAGUCGUUUCUUGUAUACAUCGGGGGACCUGCGAAGGUUUUAUCGGUGGGUAUGUCGUAAUCGGAAAGGCAAAGAUGAUAAAUGUUUAAUUUGCAUUUAUAAUUUUGAAUAAUCAGACAUAGAAUGAUAAGGUUGUAUGUCUAAAGGGAAACAGCCCAAAACAAGAGUUAAUAAGGUUCCAAAAUUAUUAUUAAGUGAAAUUAAGGAAGCUUACUCUAUUUUAUACGACCAGGAAAUAGGCUUAUGAAGCGGCCAUUUUUUGAAGAUCUCGUAACAGAGCACUGGUUAAUUAAAUGUAUUUAAUGGCGCCGAAAAUUUAACGGAUCUAAAUUAUAUACCGAAACCUUGUACAUAAAUAUAAAAAGAAAGAUUUGUUAUAUACAUUCACCUAAUAUAAGAUAUAUAUUAGUUUAAAUAAUAUCUGUUAAUAAGAUUAUUUCUAAUUAAUAAAUACUAUUAAAACUAUAUGUAGGAAGAGCAGGUAAGCCUGAAUGAUACUAUAUUAUAUUGACACGGAAAAAAACAAAGUAAUAAAGCAAUUAAUAGACUUUUUAAUUGUAUAAACAUUUCUUUCUAUACCCUUUUUUAAAGGUAUUUAUGGGGUAGCGGAACGUUGGGGAAAAAUAAGAGUUCUUCUUUUCAAGAAUAACAAAAGUAACCCAAGUGAGAAUGCUGACAUGAGUAACAAAAAAGGAUUAAUUCCUCGCCUAAAGCUUAUGUAAUUAGUUAAAAGUANCGGCU